UUUUGUUAUACUAGGCCUAUUUAAACUGUAUUCACUAAAUAUUCUAGGCCCAAUCGUCCAUAUACAUCAGUCCGCUAAACCUAAUCCAUAAAGAAACCUCAAAACGCGGCGAAUGAAUCAGACGUGCGAAGAAUCAGACUUAUGAAUGAAUCGAGGCCAUGAAGAAACGUAAAAUCAGGGUCGAUUGAGUAACCCGGUAUGUAAUCAUCACAAUUAGGGCGGUGGCCGACUAUAGGGCUGUCAGAUUUGGGGCUAAUCAUCGCAUGGCAAUAUCAAUUGAAGAACACAGACAGACACUUGUAUUUCACUCAAUUUUGCGAUUUAAUUUGGGGCUAAUCAUCGCAUGGCAAUAUCAAUUGAAGAACACAGGGAACUAGGGCAUCCGGAAGCUCAGAGACUCAGGCAUGAUAGUUAAAGCACAUCACAUGAAAUUUGUGUUAUCUCUUGACCUUGUAUGUUUUUCGUUGUCUAUGAUGUUUGGAUGGAAUUUGAAUUCCUUCUGAGUUGUUUUUUAUUGUGCAUUGUAUCUUGCUGCAACUUGCAAAUGGCAAAUUAGA
rnacentral:lncRNA from 1 species